CCACAACAAAGAGCGCCAGACGCCAUUUGUAUCUGCGAGAAUUAAGUCAACCGCCAAGAUGUCGGAAGAGGAUCUCUUCCAAGCUGCUGAGGACGGAGACUUGCAGAGGUUAACGAACCAAUUGAGUGAUGGGACCUUGAAUGUCAACACAACUGAUCUGUUAGGACGUUCACUACUACACUUGGCUGUAGAGCAAGGUGCAACACAGCGUGUCCAGCUUCUCCUCCAGCACGGGGCGAAUCCUAAUAUACAGGGCAAAAGGAUAGGAUUGUGUACAAGGCUAU